rnacentral:rRNA from 1 species
UACGUAGGUGGCGAGCGUUGUCCGGAUUUACUGGGCGUAAAGGGAGCGUAGGCGGACUUUUAAGUGAGAUGUGAAAUACCCGGGCUCAACUUGGGUGCUGCAUUUCAAACUGGAAGUCUAGAGUGCAGGAGAGGAGAAUGGAAUUCCUAGUGUAGCGGUGAAAUGCGUAGAGGUUAGGAAGAACACCAGUGGCGAAGGCGAUUCUCUGGACUGUAACUGACGCUGAGGCUCGAAAGCGUGGGGAGCAAACAGGAUUAGAUACCCCGGUAGUCCCU